rnacentral:rRNA from 1 species
UACGUAGGGGGCUAGCGUUGUCCGGAAUCAUUGGGCGUAAAGCGCGUGUAGGCGGUCCGGUAAGUCCGCUGUGAAAGUCGGGGGCUCAACCCUCGAAUGCCGGUGGAUACUGUCGGGCUAGAGUGCGGAAGAGGCGAGUGGAAUUCCUGGUGUAGCGGUGAAAUGCGCAGAUAUCAGGAGGAACACCGGUGGCGAAGGCGGGUCUCUGGGCCGUAACUGACGCUGAGGAGCGAAAGCGUGGGGAGCGAACAGG